GAUGAACGCUGGCGGCGUGCCUAAUACAUGCAAGUCGAGCGAACGGACGAGAAGCUUGCUUCUCUGAUGUUAGCGGCGGACGGGUGAGUAACACGUGGAUAACCUACCUAUAAGACUGGGAUAACUUCGGGAAACCGGAGCUAAUACCGGAUAAUAUUUUGAACCGCAUGGUUCAAAAGUGAAAGACGGUCUUGCUGUCACUUAUAGAUGGAUCCGCGCUGCAUUAGCUAGUUGGUAAGGUAACGGCUUACCACGGCAACGAUGCAUAGCCGACCUGAGAGGGGGAUCGGCCACACUGGAACUGAGACACGGUCCAGACUCCUACGGGAGGCAGCAGUAGGGAAUCUUCCGCAAUGGGCGAAAGCCUGACGGAGCAACGCCGCGUGAGUGAUGAAGGUCUUCGGAUCGUAAAACUCUGUUAUUAGGGAAGAACAUAUGUGUAAGUAACUGUGCACAUCGUGACGGUACCUAAUCAGAAAGCCACGGCUAACUACGUG
rnacentral:rRNA from 1 species